UAGGGAAUCUUCGGCAAUGGGGGGAACCCUGACCGAGCAACGCCGCGUGAGUGAAGAAGGUUUUCGGAUCGUAAAGCUCUGUUGUUAAGGAAGAACGAGUGUGAGAAUGGAAAGUUCAUGCUGUGACGGUACUUAACCAGAAAGGGACGGCUAACUACGUGCCAGCAGCCGCGGUAAUACGUAGGUCCCGAGCGUUGUCCGGAUUUAUUGGGCGUAAAGCGAGCGCAGGCGGUUAGAAAAGUCUGAAGUGAAAGGCAGUGGCUCAACCAUUGUAGGCUUUGGAAACUGUUUAACUUGAGUGCAGAAGGGGAGAGUGGAAUUCCAUGUGUAGCGGUGAAAUGCGUAGAUAUAUGGAGGAACACCGGUGGCGAAAGCGGCUCUCUGGUCUGUAACUGGCGCUGAGGCUCGAAAGCGUGGGGAGCGAACAGG
rnacentral:rRNA from 1 species